rnacentral:rRNA from 1 species
AAAUUGAAGAGUUUGAUCAUGGCUCAGAUUGAACGCUGGCGGCAGGCCUAACACAUGCAAGUCGAACGGUAACAGGAAGAAGCUUGCUUCUUUGCUGACGAGUGGCGGACGGGUGAGUAAUGUCUGGGAAACUGCCUGAUGGAGGGGGAUAACUACUGGAAACGGUAGCUAAUACCGCAUAAUGUCGCAAGACCAAAGAGGGGGACCUUCGGGCCUCUUGCCAUCGGAUGUGCCCAGAUGGGAUUAGCUAGUAGGUGGGGUAACGGCUCACCUAGGCGACGAUCCCUAGCUGGUCUGAGAGGAUGACCAGCCACACUGGAACUGAGACACGGUCCAGACUCCUACGGGAGGCAGCAGUGGGGAAUAUUGCACAAUGGGCGCAAGCCUGAUGCAGCCAUGCCGCGUGUAUGAAGAAGGCCUUCGGGUUGUAAAGUACUUUCAGCGGGGAGGAAGGGAGUAAAGUUAAUACCUUU